CACGUAGGGCGCAAGCGUUGUCCGGAAUUAUUGGGCGUAAAGAGCUCGUAGGCGGUCCGUCACGUCCGCUGUGAAAACCCAGGGCUCAACCCUGGGCUUGCAGUGGAUACGGGCAGACUAGAGGUAGGUAGGGGAGAAUGGAAUUCCCGGUGUAGCGGUGAAAUGCGCAGAUAGUCGGGAGGAACACCGGUGGCGAAGGCGGUUCUCUGGGCCUUAC
rnacentral:rRNA from 1 species